rnacentral:lncRNA from 1 species
CCAAACUUACAUACAAUCCUUUAAAUAACUCAAUCAGAGUUUAACGCAGAAUUAACAACAAACAACUUCAUAAUAUAAUUCGAUUGUCUUAAUACAAGAGUUAAUAAUUUCAUAGUUUUGGAGCACUAACUUGACAAAAAGGAAGGUACAAAUUACAACCAAAAGGCAGGUUCGGAAGGUUCAACAAAAGUAACCUGCUAUCAAGCUAUAAGCCUGAAAAGGAUAAAUAAUGAGAGGGUGAGUUCAACAACUCAGUGAGUAGAUAAUGUUCAAUAUACACACACGAGGUAAUAUAACAAUGAGAAAUAUAUAUACAAGUAUGGCUUUAGUUCUUAUACGAAGGUUUAUCAAAUAGGCCAUAACAAGAAUAUCAUAUGGUAAAACUCGUCAGAAAAUCAAAAUGCAAUGAGCAUGAGGCUCCGUACUGUGGGAUGAUCAGUCCACACAGGUUGGUGACUCUCCCGACCAACUAGGGUUCAGAUACGAUGUGCACAAAGACUAACACUACCCUGUUAGCAUGGGUAUUCUGACUGACAUACCAUAGGUUCAUAAUCAUAAUCAAACAAACAUAUUCAUAUCUCAAAGCUCAACUCAUGACAUCCAUCAAAUGAGGAGCUAUCAAUUCAGAAGUCAAAUCAUAUUGGUUCAUAUCAAGAAAUCAGAUUCAAUAAUUGAUCAUGCUUUAUCAUAUCAAGGAUAAUAAUCAGCAUAUAUAUUAUCAAGAAGCAUGAUCCAAUUCAUAUUAACAAAUCAAAUAUUUAUAAUAUUUCUCAUGCAUAUGGAAAAUUAUCCACUCACCUGACUCAAAAGCAAACAGCACACACAAGCUGAAACCGAAGGAAAUUCUACUGACGUCCUGCCGGUAGAAUAUCAGGAUUAUCUGAAUACAAAGGAGACAUAUUCAAAAACGACUCGAAAGAAAAUUUAACCUAUUUAAUACACUUAACUAAGGGUGUAUUCUGUAACCCUAUAUUUUUUGAACUAACUAGUCAAUUUUCUUAAAAACCCAAAAUCUAACGGUUUUCCCGAAAUCUAAUCCAUAAUAAAAACAACUAAUAAAAUUGGUAAUAAUUCACUAAAUAACCCUUAAUUAUUCAUCAAACUAAUCUGCAAAAGCUAAUAUUACAGCUAGGGACUAAUCUGGAAUUUUUCCAUAUUUUUAGGGCCAAAUUGUAACUUUUGUCAAAUGGAGGACCAAACUGAAAUUUGUCAUAAAUCCAUGAAUAUACUGAAAUUCUGACCUUAAUUAAUCCUCAAUUCUGUCCAGGAUGUAUCAUUAUGCUUCAGGGAUCAUUCUGGAAUUUUACUAAAUUUUUAGGGUCAAAUCGUACUUUUUGUCAAAUUGGAGGACUAAAUUGAAAGUGUUAAAUUAUCUUAUCUAUACAGUAAUUCUGUCCAUAAUUCAUAUGCUAUUCUGUUCAGAAUCUCGGAAUAUGCUCCAGGGACCAAUUUGUAAUUUUCCAAAGUUCGGGGACUAAACUGAAAUUUUCGGAAAUUGAGGGACCAAAUUGAAUUUUCGUCAUCUUCAACCUCCAGUCCAGAUUUUAACAGAAACCCCACUGUUCUCCCCUGAUUUCUAACUCAAAUUUCACCAUUUACACAAUUUAUAACUCAAAAUCAUCAUAAUCUUCCAUAAUCAACUAAAUCAUCAAUUAACCACAACAAUCAACCUAAACCUUCAAUUAAUUCAUCAAUUUAAAUCAAACACAAAUUAUCAAAACCCUAACAUUCAUAAAAACUGAAAUUAAAGCUUAAUUAACAUAUUAUACACAUUAAACAACCUAAAUCUUACCUUUUUCACUUAUUUCCUCCAAAACUCUUCCUUUUUCCCUUAUUUUCCCUUCUUUUCUCUUCUUCUUCUUCCUCCCUCUUCUCUCUCACGGUUCUGCU